UGGUGAACCAGCGGAGGGAUCAUUACCGAGUUUACAACUCCCAAACCCCUGUGAACAUACCAAUCGUUGCCUCGGCGGGACCGCCCCGGCGCCCCCGGGCCCGGACCCAGGCGCCCGCCGGAGGACCCCUAAACUCACUUGAUUCCACGGUGUAUCUUCUGAGUGACACAAGCAAAUAAAAUCAAAACUUUCAACAACGGAUCUCUUGGUUCUGG
rnacentral:misc_RNA from 1 species